rnacentral:rRNA from 1 species
UAGGGAAUCUUCGGCAAUGGACGAAAGUCUGACCGAGCAACGCCGCGUGAGUGAAGAAGGUUUUCGGAUCGUAAAACUCUGUUGUUAGAGAAGAACAAGGAUGAGAGUAAAAUGUUCAUCCCUUGACGGUAUCUAACCAGAAAGCCACGGCUAACUACGUGCCAGCAGCCGCGGUAAUACGUAGGUGGCAAGCGUUGUCCGGAUUUAUUGGGCGUAAAGCGAGCGCAGGCGGUUUCUUAAGUCUGAUGUGAAAGCCCCCGGCUCAACCGGGGAGGGUCAUUGGAAACUGGGAGACUUGAGUGCAGAAGAGGAGAGUGGAAUUCCAUGUGUAGCGGUGAAAUGCGUAGAUAUAUGGAGGAACACCAGUGGCGAAGGCGGCUCUCUGGUCUGUAACUGACGCUGAGGUUCGAAAGCGUGGGUAGCAAACAGG